rnacentral:sRNA from 1 species
CGUCUUUCAUGUUUCAUGCUUGUCCCCUUCUUUCUUUCGCCCAUCAGACAAAAACUAGCAGAGUUGUGUCACGCCAAGACAACUUAAGACGUACGUGUGACCGGUGCUGGCUGCGUCUGGCUGCGUCUGACUUGAUGACUACUCUCGACACAAGCAACAUUUGGAUGCGUGUGGAUGGGACAACAGGGAGGAGAUAUGGCACACGGCGGAGAGCAGGGUGGUGGAUGCAGGAGAUAUAGUACGUUGUACAGACUUAAAGCAGUCGGAAUGGAAAGGAUAACUGAGCAUGGAAGGACGCCAAAAGAGCAGACGGUAUCGAAAGCAGGAUGGCGAGAGAGGUGGGCAAGAUGGAAAGGCUGGCAAUGGAGAAUACAGGGUGCGGAUGGAGAGGAGUUUGCAGUAACGUCCAUGUUUAUCCUCGUGACAAAAGACAAUGCUGACGGAUCGUAGACUGUGUAUGGUGAGCAUGGCUGUUUAUCUCUUCACGGUUUUCAUAGCGCUAACUACUGUAUAAGAUGGCUGUUUUUGGUUAUUUACCCUCGUCUUCACCCUCGUCUUCACCGUUGUCUUCACCCUCGACUACGUCCCGUGCCUCAUGCCGCACUCGAAUUCAUUCUCCCCAUUACCGACUCAUCCACUCGGCUAUCCCUCAACGCCCGACGCAUUUGCUCAGCUGCUCCUCCACGCCCGAUUCAUUCACUCGGCUACUCUUUCACACCGACUCGUUUACUCGACAUUCAUUGGCAGUAGAGGCGAUAUGGGAUAUAUGAAAGGACAGGAGAGGAUGCGCAGGAUAGGUGGCAGGAUACACAAUGGGAGAGCGUGGGAUGCGGGUGAGUCUGUUCUUUCACACGGUAGCGAUCGUUGUAUAGUACGAGGUAUGCAUUGCGUGCUGGCAC